CUACUAAUAAGCUAGUAAUUAACCCUUGUAUUCUUUUUCUGGUUUCAUCUUCCUGUUUUAAUGUGUAAGAUAUUCAGCAGUAAGCACUGGUCAGCCUGCCCUGGUGCACAGCUUGAGUGUGUUAAAUAACUGGCUGUUUAGCUGAUGCCAGCCAGCUGCGUGAAGGGGAGAAGGCCGCCUCCAAGGACACAGAUGUUUGCUGUUGACCUCACGCUGUGUCUGGUUGAGUUAUUCAUGAUUCAUCAGAAAAUGACAUGCAAGGUUUAUGGUAAAACUGCUGUACAAUCAGAAGUAUUUUAAGUAUGCAUUAGAAGUAAGAUAAAAUAGUAAUAAAAAUAGUUUCAGAUGUUAAGAUGAUACAAGAAUAAAUUUAACCUAGAAAAUAAAGGGAGAAGGAAUAAAAG
rnacentral:lncRNA from 1 species